CGAAGGUGCAAGCGUUACUCGGAAUUACUGGGCGUAAAGCGUGCGUAGGUGGUGAGUUAAGUCUGUCGUGAAAGCCCCGGGCUCAACCUGGGAAUGGCGAUGGAUACUGGCUCGCUAGAGUGCGGUAGAGGAGAGUGGAAUUCCCGGUGUAGCAGUGAAAUGCGUAGAGAUCGGGAGGAACAUCAGUUGCGAAGGCGGCUCUCUGGACCAGCACUGACACUGAGGCACGAAAGCGUGGGAGCAAACAGG
rnacentral:rRNA from 1 species